rnacentral:rRNA from 1 species
AUCAGUGUGUGUGUUAGUGGAAGCGUCUGGAAAGGCGCGCGAUACAGGGUGACAGCCCCGUACACAAAAAUGCACAUGCUGUGAGCUCGAUGAGUAGGGCGGGACACGUGGUAUCCUGUCUGAAUAUGGGGGGACCAUCCUCCAAGGCUAAAUACUCCUGACUGACCGAUAGUGAACCAGUACCGUGAGGGAAAGGCGAAAAGAACCCCGGCGAGGGGAGUGAAAAAGAACCUGAAACCGUGUACGUACAAGCAGUGGGAGCACAGAGCAAUCUGUGUGACUGCGUACCUUUUGUAUAAUGGGUCAGCGACUUAUAUUCUGUAGCAAGGUUAACCGAAUAGGGGAGCCGAAGGGAAACCGAGUCUUAACUGGGCGUUAAGUUGCAGGGUAUAGACCCGAAACCCGGUGAUCUAGCCAUGGGCAGGUUGAAGGUUGGGUAACACUAACUGGAGGACCGAACCGACUAAUGUUGAAAAAUUAGCGGAUGACUUGUGGCUGGGGGUGAAAGGCCAAUCAAACCGGGAGAUAGCUGGUUCUCCCCGAAAGCUAUUUAGGUAGCGCCUCGUGAAUUCAUCUCCGGGGGUAGAGCACUGUUUCGGCAAGGGGGUCAUCCCGACUUACCAACCCGAUGCAAACUGCGAAUACCGGAGAAUGUUAUCACGGGAGACACACGGCGGGUGCUAACGUCCGUCGUGAAGAGGGAAACAACCCAGACCGCCAGCUAAGGUCCCAAAGUCAUGGUUAAGUGGGAAACGAUGUGGGAAGGCCCAGACAGCCAGGAUGUUGGCUUAGAAGCAGCCAUCAUUUAAAGAAAGCGUAAUAGCUCACUGGUCGAGUCGGCCUGCGCGGAAGAUGUAACGGGGCUAAACCAUGCACCGAAGCUGCGGCAGCGACGCUUAUGCGUUGUUGGGUAGGGGAGCGUUCUGUAAGCCUGCGAAGGUGUGCUGUGAGGCAUGCUGGAGGUAUCAGAAGUGCGAAUGCUGACAUAAGUAACGAUAAAGCGGGUGAAAAGCCCGCUCGCCGGAAGACCAAGGGUUCCUGUCCAACGUUAAUCGGGGCAGGGUGAGUCGACCCCUAAGGCGAGGCCGAAAGGCGUAGUCGAUGGGAAACAGGUUAAUAUUCCUGUACUUGGUGUUACUGCGAAGGGGGGACGGAGAAGGCUAUGUUGGCCGGGCGACGGUUGUCCCGGUUUAAGCGUGUAGGCUGGUUUUCCAGGCAAAUCCGGAAAAUCAAGGCUGAGGCGUGAUGACGAGGCACUACGGUGCUGAAGCAACAAAUGCCCUGCUUCCAGGAAAAGCCUCUAAGCAUCAGGUAACAUCAAAUCGUACCCCAAACCGACACAGGUGGUCAGGUAGAGAAUACCAAGGCGCUUGAGAGAACUCGGGUGAAGGAACUAGGCAAAAUGGUGCCGUAACUUCGGGAGAAGGCACGCUGAUAUGUAGGUGAAGCGACUUGCUCGUGGAGCUGAAAUCAGUCGAAGAUACCAGCUGGCUGCAACUGUUUAUUAAAAACACAGCACUGUGCAAACACGAAAGUGGACGUAUACGGUGUGACGCCUGCCCGGUGCCGGAAGGUUAAUUGAUGGGGUUAGCGCAAGCGAAGCUCUUGAUCGAAGCCCCGGUAAACGGCGGCCGUAACUAUAACGGUCCUAAGGUAGCGAAAUUCCUUGUCGGGUAAGUUCCGACCUGCACGAAUGGCGUAAUGAUGGCCAGGCUGUCUCCACCCGAGACUCAGUGAAAUUGAACUCGCUGUGAAGAUGCAGUGUACCCGCGGCAAGACGGAAAGACCCCGUGAACCUUUACUAUAGCUUGACACUGAACAUUGAGCCUUGAUGUGUAGGAUAGGUGGGAGGCUUUGAAGUGUGGACGCCAGUCUGCAUGGAGCCGACCUUGAAAUACCACCCUUUAAUGUUUGAUGUUCUAACGUGGACCCGUAAUCCGGGUUGCGGACAGUGUCUGGUGGGUAGUUUGACUGGGGCGGUCUCCUCCUAAAGAGUAACGGAGGAGCACGAAGGUUGGCUAAUCCUGGUCGGACAUCAGGAGGUUAGUGCAAUGGCAUAAGCCAGCUUGACUGCGAGCGUGACGGCGCGAGCAGGUGCGAAAGCAGGUCAUAGUGAUCCGGUGGUUCUGAAUGGAAGGGCCAUCGCUCAACGGAUAAAAGGUACUCCGGGGAUAACAGGCUGAUACCGCCCAAGAGUUCAUAUCGACGGCGGUGUUUGGCACCUCGAUGUCGGCUCAUCACAUCCUGGGGCUGAAGUAGGUCCCAAGGGUAUGGCUGUUCGCCAUUUAAAGUGGUACGCGAGCUGGGUUUAGAACGUCGUGAGACAGUUCGGUCCCUAUCUGCCGUGGGCGCUGGAGAA